rnacentral:rRNA from 1 species
GGGCGCAAGCCUGAUGCAGCGACGCCGCGUGAGGGAUGGAGGCCUUCGGGUUGUAAACCUCUUUUGUUAGGGAGCAAGGCACUUUGUGUUGAGUGUACCUUUCGAAUAAGCACCGGCUAACUACGUGCCAGCAGCCGCAGUAAUACGUAGGGUGCAAGCGUUAUCCGGAAUUAUUGGGCGUAAAGGGCUCGUAGGCGGUUCGUCGCGUCCGGUGUGAAAGUCCAUCGCUUAACGGUGGAUCCGCGCCGGGUACGGGCGGGCUUGAGUGCGGUAGGGGAGACUGGAAUUCCCGGUGUAACGGUGGAAUGUGUAGAUAUCGGGAAGAACACC